ACUGUCAGCUGCUCAGAAGUUUCUGGUGGGAGCAAAAGGGGUUGAUUUCUGCCAUUCCUGGAGCCGUUCCCAUCACUGAGUGAGAGAGAGGAGCUGGGAGAGGAGCUGCUUCCUUCUCGCCUCUGCUUUCCUCUGCCGGGGUUAGCAGAAAGGUUGAUCUCCAGAUGAUGCAGUUAAGGGCUUCAAGGACACCAGCAGGCCUUUCUCUCCUGGGCGCCUUCAGCAUCAUAGCAGGUACAGGAUAAAGAUCAUGAUGGAGGGCCUGGUCUCCACUUGGCCUAGCAGCCUUCCCUGAGCUGGGCCUGUGCCAAAGUAAAAGUGCCCAGGAGAAGGAGUGGGAAUCGGAAAAGAAUGAAGGCGAAGCAAGCAAUGGAGGAUCCUGAUAGCUGUGUCUCCUGAUCCAUACUACAGUCCUGUAAGUGUUGAAGAACCUCUUGAAUUUGUCUUCCCAGAAGAUGGAGAGGUAAGUCUGACUCCUACCACCUCCAGAGGCCAGACUGUCAGAGAGCUACAUAGGAAAAGACAGCAGUCCACAGAUAUCAAAGGUGUUGAAAAAGGAGCGUACUUCCUCUCUGUUGCUACUGAGCGCAGCACUGAACGCUGCCAAUACGAGAAUGCAGGUUUAGGCUAGGCAGUAGGAAUGCUUUCCCAAAUGGGAGAAGGGUUGCCAAGGUCACCUCAUGGAGUCCUGGGCUCCUCUUUGCUGAUGGUUUUCAGACAGAAGCCAGAUAACGAUGAUCUCCAAGGAGCCUUCCCACUCUAAAAUGCAAAGAUUCUGCUGUGAUCGUCACAUUGAGUCUGCAAGGGAUCUGCAAGUCCCGCCCCCCCGACACCCAGACUGAUUCUAUUUGCCCCCCAAGUUGACUGCAGUUAUGAGGAAGCAGAUUUAAGCUAAGCCUUGAGAAUAAUUUCCCACGGGAGAGAUGUCUGCAGAGGCACACACAACCAUCCCAAGUACAGAUAUAGAUAGUAUAGAGGUACACUCGCACAUAUACUUGUGAACACUUUUUUAAUGUCAAUAAUUGGUAAAGAGGGACCAGUGAUGCAUGGAUUUAUUUUUCUGAUUGAAUCCCUUCCCUUGAUGGGAGUUGCAGCCCAACAACAUCUGGGACCAAGUUUGAGAAUCUCUUGUCUGUUGGCUUCCCAGAGGCAUCCAGUGAGCCCCUAUGGGGAAACAGCAUGCUGGAUUAGAUAGGCCUUGGGUCUGAUCCAGCAGGGCUGUUAGGUUCUUAACAGUCAGGUAUGAUGGGAGUUGUAGUCCAACUUCUAUUUCCAGUCAUUCUCUUCAGCCUGACCUACUUUACAGGACUAUUGUGAGGAUAGAAGAAUUGCAUAUUUGGAGGUCCCGGCAGUAAGGGCAGAUAUAAAUUCCAGAAGCCAAGGGUUCUUAAAAUUGGGUCCCCAGAUGUUUUGGGACUAGAAUUCCCAUCAUCCUCAGCUACAAAACCUUGCAGGAGUAUUGCAUGUCUUGUUGAUCAAAAGGGAAUCAUGCAUGUUUGGAAUGGAAGGGUCCUUGUAAGAGCCCUGAAAAGUCAGAAGUUAGAUUACACAGAAGUUAUAUUAGAAGUUACAAAUAUUUUAAAGUUGAUGCUUAUGCUUUAUUUUAAAAAUAUUUAUAUAUUUCAUAUUGAAAAGACUCUUGGUUAAAACAACGCAGGGUUGUGUACAGCCCAUCGGAUCCCUCUACUACCUCUUGGUUUCUCCCAAGACGUGCUCAAGAGAGAUUUCCAUAGAGAUCUGCUUGCACAGACAUUACACUUUCAUCUUGCUUCUGCAUCCUUGCAAUAGCUGCCACUUGAAGCACUAGAGGGGUGGGGAGGGAUAGCUAUUCACAGCAAUUAGCCAAGAAGCUAGGGAUGACCCACCUGUAGCUCAGCAGCUGCUGUUGGACUAGAAUUCGCAUCAUCCCCAGCUGCUGUGUUGAGACUACAGAUGAUCACCCCCAUCAAAACAGGUGGCUGGGGAUGGUAGAAGUUUUAGUAUGGUGGGAGUUGUAAUCCAACACAGUGAUAACAAAUAUAGUCCCCUGAUGCAAAUCCAUGGUGAAAAGCAUCGUGAAAGAAAGCAUCAGGGUUUGGGCAACAGCUUGUAUAAGGGGGCUGGAUAAAGAAAUCAACAUGAAAAUAGGAAGGUUGAAACUAAGGGCGAAUAAGGGAAGGCCAUUAAAGUAACACAUUGAUCUGAAUUUAAGAUGCUAUUACCCCAAAUGAUUUGAUGUUAAAACUCAGGGUCACGACGUAAAUUCAGAAUCCUGCUGUUUUAGGUAAGUAAAUGUUUAACAUAUAUUAAACUGCCACCCAUUCCUGGAGGGCCGGCUGCCCGUUGGUUCUUUCCUCCUGCCUCCCAAAUGACUUGAUGUUAAAAUUCAGGUUCAUGACAUAAAUUCAGAAUCCUGCUGUUUUAGGUAAGUAAAUGUUUAACAUAUAUUAAACUGCCACCCAUUCCUGGAGGGCCAUUCGCCCGUUUGUUCCCUCCUCCUCUUGCCGGACCCCACAAGGCUUGGCGUUCCCUCCUCCUCUUGCCGGACCCCACAAGGCUUGGCGUUCCCUCCUCCUCUUGCCGGACCCCACAAGGCUUGGCGUUCCCUCCUCCUCUUGCCGGACCCCACAAGGCUUGGCGUUCCCUCCUCCUCUUGCCGGACCCCACAAGGCUUGGCGUUCCCUCCUCCUCUUGCCGGACCCCACAAGGCUUGGCGUUCCCUCCUCCUCUUGCCGGACCCCACAAGGCUUGGCGUUCCCUCCUCCUCUUGCCGGACCCCACAAGGCUUGGCGUUCCCUCCUCCUCUUGCCGGACCCCACAAGGCUUGGCGUUCCCUCCUCCUCUUGCCGGACCCCACAAGGCUUGGCGUUCCCUCCUCCUCUUGCCGGACCCCACAAGGCUUGUUUCCCCUGGAACUAUAUUUGGGGACCUUCAACUUUAUUUGGGCAAUGUCCCCCAGAAGUUUUGUAUGUGAAAUUUUUGUACUUUAAAUUGCCUCUAUCUUAAAUGGUUUCUUUAAAUUUUUGUACAGCCUAUUGGAUCCCUCUGCUGCCCUUUGAUUUCUCUUGGACCAGCUUGACAGAUGUUUCCGUAGUAGUCUCUUUCCACAUGUUUCAUGUUUCUGCUGCUUGUUUGCUGUAGCUGCCACUUGAGCCCUCAUGCUAAAUAUGCUAAAUAAAAUAAAUGUGUGGUUUUGUGGGGCAGCGGGUGGGGCUAUCUAUUCACAGCAUUUAGGCUCUGGCCGGGUGGAGUUGUGGUGUUAAGAGGGGGCAGGGCAGCAAACUGAUUCUCUACAGAGCAGACAUCCAAAAGCAAGAGAAAUGGCACAGAGGAAGCCGAGAGGCUAGAGAUUGCCCGACGCUUCCCAGCUCUUGUUGGAUUACAACUCCCAUCAUCCCCAGCUUCUCUUGUUCAGGACUACAGCUCCCAUCACCCCCUGCCAUAAAGCUUGGCUGGGGAUGAUAGAAGCUGUCCUCCAAUCACCCCCAGCCACCUUGUAUUGUGGCAUGAGUUGAUGGGAGUUCAACAACAGCUAGAGAACCUCAGGCUGGCCACACCUGCAAUAACAAAUACAGUCCCCUGAUGUAAAUCCAGAUCUUCUUAUGAAGAGAACCAUCACGUUUUGAGCAAUGGCUUGUUGGGGGGGCGGAUAAAUAAAUCAACAUGAAAACCAGGCAGUUGAAACAGAGGGUCGUGAAGAAAACACCACUUAAGUAGCUCACAUUUGUUUCCUUUUUCUUCUCUCUCCGCUAUACCAGCAAAGAAGAGCUUCCCUUUCAACAUCUAAGAAAGGAUCCCAUCCUGCUUCUGAUGCACUGUUAUCAACGCGAGUGCUGAGGGUUGCAUCGGCCGGGUAAAUAUGCAUUGACACAAUGACAAAUCUCUCCGGUGGCUGAGCGGAAUGGUGGGCCCUAGAGAAGGCAGGAAGAGGCUGAGGAGAGCAACCCCACAACAGAUGCCCAUUCCCUUUUUGACUAGGUUUGCAAAAGCCUCAUGUACACUCAAGGUCAUGAGGCUUUUGCAAAGAGGGGGCAUAGUUUCCCGGGAAACGACUUCACCCCAGGAGUGGAAUCCACACCUUAGUUUACAGAGCUCCCUUCAAACUAGUUACUGAAGUUGCAGCCCAGGUUUGCACCCGUUCCCUCUGUCCCAUCUCUUGAUUCCGAGUCUGGGUCCCCACCCCACCCCUUCCCCUGGCUCUGCAUCCAGUGCGGGGUGCAAAUGUCACGUCCAGUCCUGGCAGGGUGCAAGAAACAAGGCUGGACCCCACAGUGAACCAUUCUGUAAGGCCAAGCAGGGGGGCAGAGGGUGCGCUAGUGAAAGCGAUCCCCGCCCUCUCUUGGCCUUCUGCAGGGACACCUCGGCAUCCACUCACCCCCCUCAGGUGACAGUGUGGGAUUAGCCGGUCGCCAUUUGGGGCCGAGUAGGAAUUUUCCCCAUCCACCCAGAUUGGCCUGGAGGUGGCUGGUUUUUUGCCUACUCUGCACUGUUGCACUGGACGGGAUUUCUGAUCUGGCGGAUGUUAGGAGUGGUGCCGCUAAAUAGUGUAGCCCCUUGGUCACCAUGGCAGGUCCGAGGAGGGGAUGUAGUGCCCCACCCCGUUGGUGGCAGGUGCGAUUUCCCCCAGCUACACUCUAGUUCUCUGCUAAAAUGAGUCAAUAAAGUGAUGGCCCUAGUUUCAACCCA